rnacentral:rRNA from 1 species
UACAGAGGUCUCAAGCGUUUGUUCGGAUUCAUUGGGCGUAAAGGGUGCGUAGGCGGCGUCGGUAAGUCGGGUGUGAAAUCGUCGGAGCUUAACUCCGAAACUGCAUUCGAUACUGCCGGUGCUUGAGGACUGGAGAGGAGACUGGAAUUUACGGUGUAGCGGUGAAAUGCGUAGAUAUCGUGAGGAAGACCAGUUGCGAAGGCGGAUCCUC